GUCUCGGUGGCGCAAUUGGUAAGCAAUCUUCUUCAAAUCCAACAUAUCUAGCAACUUGUUAAUAUCUAUCAGGUUAGCGCGUACGACUGUUAAUCGUGAGGUUGAGAGUUCGAUCCUCUCCCGGGACG